rnacentral:rRNA from 1 species
UACGUAGGGGGCAAGCGUUGUCCGGAAUCAUUGGGCGUAAAGAGCGUGUAGGCGGUCCGGUAAGUCCGCUGUGAAAGUCAAGGGCUCAACCCUUGAAUGCCGGCGGAUACUGUCGGGCUAGAGUCCGGAAGAGGUGAGUGGAAUUCCUGGUGUAGCGGUGAAAUGCGCAGAUAUCAGGAGGAACACCUAUGGCGAAGGCAGCUCACUGGGACGGUACUGACGCUGAGACGCGAAAGCGUGGGGAGCAAACAGG